UACGGAGGGAGCUAGCGUUGUUCGGAAUUACUGGGCGUAAAGCGCACGUAGGCGGCUUUGUAAGUUAGAGGUGAAAGCCCGGGGCUCAACUCCGGAACUGCCUUUAAGACUGCAUCGCUUGAAUCCAGGAGAGGUGAGUGGAAUUCCGAGUGUAGAGGUGAAAUUCGUAGAUAUUCGGAAGAACACCAGCGGCGAAGGCGGCUCACUGGACUGGUAUUGACGCUGAGGUGCGAAAGCGUGGGGAGCAAACAGG
rnacentral:rRNA from 1 species